GUCCUUUAGAAUUUAAUUUAAGGUCUGACCUGCCCAGUGAAUAAUUUAACGGCCGCGGUACACUGACCGUGCAAAGGUAGCAUAAUCAUUAGUCUUUUAAUAGAGGGCUGGAAUGAAAGGUUUAACGAGGAACUGACUGUCUUAUUUUAUUUGUUUUAAAAUUUAAUUUUUUAGUCAAAAAGCUAAAAUAAAAUUGGUAGACGAGAAGACCCUAUAGAUCUUUAUAUAUUAUUAUUUAAUUAUUUUUAUGUUAAUAUUUUUAUAUAGUAAUAUAUUUUGUUGGGGUGACAAAAAUAUAUAAUGAACUUUUUUAUUUUAUUAACAUUGAUUUAUGAAUAUAUGAUCCAGUAUUAUUGAUUAUUAGAUUAAGUUACCUUAGGGAUAACAGCGUAAUUUUCUUCCAGAGUUCAUAUUUACGAGAAAGUUUGCGACCUCGAUGUUGGAUUAAGAUAAUAGUUAGGUGUAGUCGCUUAAUAUAUAGGUCUGUUCGACCUUUAAAUUCUU
rnacentral:rRNA from 1 species